rnacentral:rRNA from 1 species
UAAAAUAAGAGUUUGAUCCUAGCUCAGAAUAAACGCUUGCGACGUGGUUUAGACAUGCAAGUUGAACGAUAACUGUUAAGUUAUAGUAGCGAACGGGUGAGUAAUGUACAAAUAACCUGCCUUUAGGAUAGGAAUAACCCUUUGAAAAAAGGAUUAAUACCUUAUACUAUUUUCCUAGUUAAAACUAGGAAACAUUAAAGUUCGAGAAGACGCCUAAAGAGGGGUUUGUAUCCUAUCAAGUUAGUUGGUAAGGUAAAUGCUUACCAAGACUAAGACGGGUAGCCGGUCUGAGAGGAUGUACGGCCACACUGGAACUGAGACACGGUCCAGACACCUACGGGUGGCAGCAGUUUCGAAUCAUUCACAAUGGGCGAAAGCCUGAUGAUGCGACGUCGCGUGAAGGAAGAAGGUUUUUUAAUCGUAAACUUCUGUCGUUGGUGAACAAAAAAUAAACUAAUAAUUUAUAAAUUGAGUUAAUCCAAAAAGGAAGUAGUGGCUAAUUCCGUGCCAGCAGCCGCGGUAAUACGGGAACUGCAAGCGUUAUUCGGAUUUACUGGGCGUAAAGAGUACGUAGAUUGUUGUGCAAGUUAAAUGUGAAAUCUUAAAGCUUAACUUUAAAACUGCAUUUAAAACUACACGACUAGAGUAUCAAAGGGGUAAGUGGAAUUUCAAGUGUAGCGGUGAAAUGCGUAGAUAUUUGAAAGAACACCAAAGGCGAAGGCAACUUACUGGGGGAUUACUGACAUUAAAGUACGAAAGCGUGGGUAGCGAAAGGGAUUAGAUACCCCUGUAGUCCACGCUGUAAACAAUGUACACUGUAUCUUGGAAAAAUUUUAUUUUCAGGAUGUGAGCUAACGCAUUAAGUGUACCGCCUGAAGACUACGGUCGCAAGACUAAAAUUCAAAGGAAUUGACGGGGACCCGCACAAGCGGUGGAGCAUGUGGCUUAAUUCGAUACAACGCGAAGAACCUUACCUGGAUUUGACAUGUUGUAGACAGGGUGCGAAAGCAUUUUUUCAUAAAAGACUACUGCACAGGUGCUGCAUGGCUGUCGUCAGCUCGUGUCGUGAGAUGUUCGGUUAAGUCCGGUAACGAGCGCAACCCUCGUUUUUAGUUACUAACAGUUAAUGCUGAGAUAUCUAGAAAGAUAAACUUCUCUUAAGAGGUUAGAAAGUGGGGAUGACGUCAAGUCCGUAUGGCCUUUAUAUCCAGGGCUGCACACGUGCUACAAUGCUUAAGACAAUAGGAAGCGUAGCUGUGAAGUGAAGCAAAUCCAAUAAACUUAAGCUUAGUUCGGAUUGAAGUCUGCAACUCGACUUCAUGAAGUUGGAAUCGCUAGUAAUGGUAUAUCAGCAAUGGUACCGUGAAUACGUUCUCGGGUCUUGUACACACCGCCCGUCACGUCAUGAAAGUUGGUUUUAUCUAAAGAAUAAGGAGUAGCUUUUUAUGUGAAAAUUGUUUUAAGGUUGGGCCGAUGAUUGGGACGAAGUCGUAACAAGGUAGCCGUAGGGGAACCUGUGGCUGAAUCAAUUAUAUA